GUGUGGGGUGUGCGGGGAGGGGGGAUCGCGGAAGAGCAUAGGGGUGCCUGGGGGGGAACGUGGGGGUACGUGAGGGUGGAGGGGUGAGUGCCUGGGAUUGGGGACGUGGAGUAGUGGUGGGGAGAUGCCCGUGGGGACGCGUGGGGGUGUUGGUGGGUGCCUGUGGACGUGGGAAUGCAGGGUGGGAGGUGUUGGAGAGAAUUUGUUCGUGGGGACACGUGGAGGUGUGAAGGGUGAGCGUUGUUUGUGGGGUCCAUACGAGUGGGAGAGGGGAAGAGGGCUGAGUGCCUGUUGGGGGGGUUUAUGGUGUUGAAGAGAAAAGUGUGUGUGAGGUGUGAGCACUGCAGCUGAGCCCCCUCCCACGCUGUGCUCCUGGACAUGGACCCACACCAGCCCCCCCCCCCCCCAAACCCGGUGCCUGGGCUGGAUCUGCUCUGCAUUUCAUGGGCAAAGUCUCCAUGCGCAGAGUGAAGGCAGCGAGCUCCUCGGGGUGAGUCACUGCGUGAGAGCACACAGCUUACAACUUUACUUCUGAAGCCUAAAUACACUUCUGGAGCACGCUAUUCCUCCUCUAAUGGAGCACGAAGGCUGUUCUCCUCCUGGCCUUGUUGCCCCACAUGGAUACGCACCUCUGGCUGAGGGUUGGAGUCAUUUGUUUGCCUUUUUCUUCCUCCCUGCUGGAGCUUCCAUCAGCUGGCACUUGGAGCUCAGCAAUCACUUCAUCUUGCAGAAGUGCUGCCUCUAAAAUUAAAAUUCCCGUAUGAGGUAUAAAUGUUUCAAGAGAAGGAAAGAAAAACAUUAAGUAGAACUUGAGUGCACAGUGAGAACCCCUCCAGUCACGCUCUGUGCAGAGCAACCCAAAAACGAGGGCUCAGCUGCUUUUUGGGGGUCACCCAAAAGGGCAAAGGAUUCUUUGAGGUGACAAUAAGGGGGCUUCCCAUGACCCCCACCUGCAGAAUAACUCAUGGCAGAAGCUGAGCGGCCUUGAGGGCCGGAGGGAAGGGGAGCAUCUGCUUCCCCCGCACUUUGGGUAUGGUGUGUUCUCUGAAUUUCUUUAUUGAAUCAUUGAGAACGGCUGCAAUUUUCAGUUCACCACCUAGGCUUGCACCAAGGCUGGGCUGGAAGCAGACGGAGCCAUCUCGUGCCUCAAAGCACAUCCCCAGGGCUGCUCCCGGGCAUCUCCCUGAUCUGAUGGCCCCUGAGCACCCUCAGGAGCCCCAAGGAAUCAGGCAGUGGUGUUCUGGGGCUGCUCUGCCCCCCAGCUGAUGGGGAGUGGCUCAGGCACAGAGUGCUGCACCGGCACAGCGGGGGCAGUCAGCUCGGUUCAUCUAUCACCGUAGCCCACCACCAGCCCCGGUGCUGGUGGUGCUUUGGACCCUUUUUCUUUCAGUCCACAUGCUUUAGGAUUCAUCGCUUAACCGUUGAAAAGAUGACAAAACUGGUAAUUGCAUCUUGUUUGUUUUAUUUAGGAAGUUCGACUCAGGAGAUUAAAAAACAACAAACCAACCACCCUUAUUUCUUCUUCCAUCAUAAAUUACUGACACAUUCAGUGCUGAAGGGCCCCGCGUGCCGCCUGGGGACUCAUUAUUGUCACUCGCAGGGACGUCACUGUCUCUUCCUCUACUCAGGAGCGCGAGGAGCGAUGCGGUAGCGAUGCUUCAGGGAUGCCAGGCUCACCCCCAGCUCUGCUCACUGCCUCGUGCCGCCGUGCAGCCGUGGCCUCGCAGCAGGGAGGAAGCAGAGCAGCUCCUAAUGAGGCGCUGGGAGCACUCCGAGCCUCUUGGCUCGUGAGCAGAGAACCGCAGGCGGGAGCCCCUGCCCUGUGGACCGUGACAGCUCUGGUGGUAAAGCGCAGCCAAGCUUCCAGAAGCUUCUCUCAAAGAACGCUGCUGCUUAUCUCUGUUUGCUCCUGGCACGUGUUCUGCUCUUUCCCCAUCCCAUCCCACCCCCACCCCACAAACAGCCAUGCCAGCGCUCCUGCAUUUUUCAGGAGUAAUAUUCCCUGCACCUCUGGGGCUGCGGGGACGGCGCUGCCCAUCCCGCUCUGGAGAAGGCAUCUCAUGGGCUGACGAACCUGAGAUUGACCCUUAUGUUUCACCAUUCUCAGGUUAGACAGUCCUCGAGGUGCCCCUCGCUCGGGCAGCCGCCGCCCCAUGCCCCGCAUCCUGCGUCCUGCGCCCACCCAGAUCCCCCGGCCAUAGGGAUUUUGCAAGAGGGAGCAGAGAUGCAGCCCCUCAGCUCUGCUGUGCCUUAGCUUCUCUGCAUCCAUGCCUGACCACGAGGUUCUGCAGGAGUCGGUCCCUUCCGAAAUGCACGCUGUGCUUCCUCCUGCAACCAGUGGUCGUGGAAACCUUUGCACAACCGGAGUUCAGGGCUAAAAGCUGGGCUGCUGCAUGCUGCAUGCACCCAACGCCUCCUAGAUAUGCACAGGGCAGCUCUGGCCCCACAGAUCCCCGUCUGGCCAUGGGCUGUGCUGUUGGGACAGAGAUGGAGCAGCAGAUUCUCUUCCUUUGCUCCCAUUUGCAGAUGGCAGCAUCCUGGGAGCAUCAGAGCACUUCUGCAAGGCUCGUCCAAAAUCUGCCACCCAAAAUCUACACCCAGCUCUGCAGAGAUGCCCCAUAGGACCUGCACCAGGGAAGGAUUUUUCAAGUUGGGCACCGCCAAUCUUAAUGCAAAGCCUGAGCAGGCCCAGGAAGCUGUCAGAAAAGGCACCAAGGAAUUAGCGAUCGGUUUCAGUCCCUUCUGGAUUUCUUGCUCCAUUUGGCUCCUAUCACCUUCCCCUGUGCUCCGGCAUGGACAGAGCCAGGUACGUCCCCAGGCACGUGAGCUAGGUUGUUCCAAUGGAGCAGUGGAUUUGCUUGGGGUCAAUGAAAGAGAAACCUUUCAGACAGGAAUUAAGGGGACUGCAGAGCCACAGUUUUAUCUUCUCAGUUUACUUGGUUUCAAAUUCAUGAUUGAGCUUUUGGGGUUUUUUUUAAUGCUUUUUUGGGGAAGAAAAAGCUAAAUGGAAUCUAUAGCAGCAUGCCUGGGGUGGGGGGAAGGUUGGGCAGAGCAAUGAAGGAGCAGCAGAACCCUCCCAGCCUCCCCUUUUGCAAGAAGGAGCCCAGCAGAAAGAGGCAGGGAGAGCUUCUAAGAGGAGGGGGGAUCAGCCCUGCAGCGGGGAGUGCUGCCUUACCUCUCACCUGCAGCUCCUGUCUCCAUCCCUCUGCCCGCUGCGCCCGCGCCGCUUUUAUGGCCGUCCCUGUCCUCGUGGCUCGGAGGAGUCAAGCCGGGCUACAGCGAAUUGCCACUCUUUCUGCUGGCUUCCUGUUUGUGCAUCGCGAGCGGCUGUGGUAAAAUUUCCAUUACACGCUGGACAGACACAGGGCGGCAGAGAGAAGUGAAGAAAAAAAAAAAAGCAAAAAAAAAAAGUAACCCAACCCAAUGCAGUGCGGCGCUGCUCGAGUCACACGAAAGCGGCUGUGUUAGGGGGCUGGGAGGGGUGGAGGGAUGCUCUGGGUGCCCCCUGCCCAGCCAUGGGGGUGCGAUAAGUGGAAGACCCUCAUUUCCAACCCCUCCACCGUAACCUCUGUUUCCUAAGUGCUGCCCCUCUGAAUGGAGGCAGAGCGUUGGGGUUGGCCCCGUCAGCCGCAUCCAUCCACCCCAUGGCUGAUCCUCCAGCGAGGCCAGCAGCAGAGUGCAGUGCAGCUCCUGCUCCUUAAGGUGGCAGAUCUGGAGGGUAUCCGAUUUACUGUUAUCCCUUGUUUCCCCUUGGCAGGCCACGAAGAGCCAUGUUGGCCGUAGAACAUACAGCCUGCGGAUGGAAAGCAAAGGGAAAGGUUGAAAACCUGCUGUGACGAUGAAGCAGUGUCCCCAGAUGUGAAGCACUGCGCUCCUCUUGUGGGGCCACAGCGCUGCAUCCACAGAGGGGACGCGUGGCCUUAUCCUGCUGCCUCUGCAACGGGCACUGAGCACCCUGCUGCACCCAGCCCUGCUCCAGGCAGCGUUCCUCCCUUGCUCUCCCACCCGAGCUGUGUCCUGCUCCUUCCGCACGUGCCCUGACCCCCAGCUCUCACUUUUCAGGGGCUUCGGGGUUUUUAUGUCUUUAUGUCAGAGCUGCCCGGGAACCACACGGCUGCUGCAGGACCCGCUGGUGCUGCUCAGCCCUCCUUUCUUGUAUUGUUUGCACAAGAAAGGAAUGGAGAGAGUGGAGCAUUUGCGUGGUUUUUAUUUGGUUUGAGUUUGUUUUCUUUCAGUCUGUGGGAAGCAGGGGACGAACUCUCCAGAUCCAACAUUUCCUCCUCAGCUCCAUGUGCGUUUUGAUGCCCCACGUUUUGGCUGUUGUGCGAUAUGCCCUGCAGAUCCAAGGCAUGAGCAAAGCCGUGUGCUCCUGCUUGUAGCCCAGCGGGGAACCCCACUUGCCAGCUGUGAGGCUGCUGAAGGAGUUCCAAAGCAGGGAGAACCUCCCCAAAGUGCAGCUCAGUAAGACCCCAAACGCUCAGAACUUGCAUUGUGGACCCCGUGGGGACUUUGGGUUUUGCUUAUGAACUCUUUCCCAGCGCUUUCUCUUCUUGCAAUUAUUCAGUUUUGGGGAUGGUGGGGGAAAAUUUGCAUUUCUUUGUCUGCUUUUUGUAAAAAAAAAAAAAAAAAGCACGUAUAUAUAUGUAUUUAAAAUGUCUUUGCUUUUUAUAAGUGUCUCUGCGGUGAGCAAACAGGACCGAGGGCUGUGAGCUCAACGUGAGGUGUCACUGAAGAAGUUUCCAGUUGCUCUUUGCGUUGGCAGCAGGUAAACACAUUUGUGCACAGUGCCUCGGACAUGUCUGAUUGCCACGCUCCCAUGCACCCCAUUUUCCACUGCCAUUUUGAUGCUGAAAAGCCCCCUGAGUGGAGCAGUGCAAGCCCUGCUGCAGGCUGUGUGCUCCCAGUGUCCUUGUUUGCAAUACACAGAAAUUGAGGUUUGGGGUUGUUUUUUUUUGCAAUUGAACAGGGCUGUAGGAUGGGGUUCCAGACCGGAGCUCUGGUGUGCUGCUGGACCUCAGGGUUGGAUGGGAACCCCCACGAUGAGCUGCUCAGUUCUGGGAUGAGUGGUGGAGAAAUGCCCAAAUCGAAGCCCUCUUUCUGCACAGAUAGGAAACCAACGGGCAGAGAGCUUGGAAGGAAAAUGGGUUGGUUGUUCUGACCUGAGAGAGCCCCACGGAUGGGCAGUGCUGGAGGGGCCACAGCACAGGGCUGGCAGCAGCAAGAUACUUCAUUUCUCUCAGAAAAACCCAGGGCCAUCUGCUGCAGAAAGAGAAAACACAACCCCAAAACUCUCCUUGCAGGCGCUUCUGCCUCGAGAUGAGUUUGUUUGCUCUUUGAUGGUCAAGCAGAUAUUGUUCUCAGGUUGUUUUCUCCUUUUCUUUUUUUUUUUUUUUUCUUUUCUUUUCUUUUUCACCACUCUGCUCUAUUUUUAGUGCUGGGAGGAUGGUGCCGAAGAGCCUCUGCUGUCGGUCAGGGUUUGUGGUUUGGGCUGCUCCUGAGGCAGGGCAGGAAACCCCUGGGGGGUACAGAGGGCUGGGGGCUGAGGUGGGGCUGCAGUGGGGGGCACUGCUGGGGGCUGCACAAGCAAGAGGUGGCAAUACAACAAUAUUGUGUAUUAUAGCAAUGCAAUUUGUUCAGGAGAAUGUUGGCUGCUUUGAGCAGCACACGGGAGAGCUGGGAGCAUAGAGCUGUCCUGGCGUGUAAUGAGAAAAAUAGAGAUUCUUUCGCCCCCCUCUAUUUGGUACCCCCGGGUGUCAGGUGGGAGUCAUUGGGCUCUGAAGGCGGCUGUCCUGCAGUGCAUCCCCCGUGCUGCAGGGCUACGGCCACGCUGGCUAACACCAACACUAUCUCUCAUCCACCAGAGUUUGAGGAGUACCUGCAAAUAUCUUGGCCAAAAAAGGUGUAGUUUUGUUCUCGUUUCCACUGCUCGGCCCCACGGGCGGCCAUCAUGGCUGCCGCACUGGGUGGCCUAAAAGGCAGAGGUGGGCUGGGAGCCGCCCACCGCCCACGCGGUGUUUCCGAGGUGGUGUGUUUGCCACCAGCAGUUUGUCACACGCAGAAGAAAGCUGAGCUUGAAGCGAUGGCAAUGGCAGCGCAGGGAGAGGGGGAUGGCGGCCUCCUGAGAUGGCGGCCUCCUAAAAUGGCGCCUCCUAAGAUGGCGCCUACUGAGAUCACGCCUCCCAAGAUGGCGGCCUCCCAAGGUAGCACCACAUCGUGCAGGAGGCUGGCGGCAAAGGCGAUGACAGCGAGGAUGGGGCAAGGUUUCCUACUGUGGCACAUGCUGUUAAAUUGAGCACUUCUGCCUCCAGUGGGGCAAGGAGAGGGUGGGCAGGGGUGAGGAGGGGAGGCGCCAUGUUCUUGAGGUGGAAUUCAGCGCUGUGGUGGCCAGGUGUGGGGAUUUGGUGUGCAGGUGUGCUGAGGGAAAAUGUGGACCUGGUGGGGGGAAAGGCACAGGUCUGCUGAGGGAAAGUGUGGAUCUGCUGAGGACAAAUGCAGACGUGCAGAGGAAAAUGGUGGACGCAGUGCAGUUAAAGCAGGAGCCGCCCAGGAUGCAGAGGUCUCCAGCAGCUCUGGUUGCUGUGGCCGCCCUGGGCCGUGCCCAUGGGGCAGGUAUGAGCGCUUGGCCCUGAACAUGGCGGCCAUGGGGCUGUGCCACGCCCUGCUGUGCCGCCAUGGUGCUGGCUGUGGGUGCUGGGGCUGUGGGUGCGUGGGUGGCACUCGGCAGCCUGGAUGUGCUGCAAAACAAGACGUGGUGCCUCCCCCUGCCCCCCGAGGUUGUUCUCCCCUCCUGUGAGGGGUCCUGGAGGGUCCUACAGCUGUCAGUAGUGCCCGUCAGGCUUGCAGGGACUGUGGAUGAUGGGCACCCUUUGCUGCUGUGGUGGUUCAUGGCCCCGCUGCACCCACACUCCUCACAGCCCCAUGGCUGCCCCGACACGCUGCCCGCUGGGCACUGUUCUGAGGGACCGGGAGCUGCUGUGUCUGUGAGGCCUGCGGGGAAUGGGGUGCAUGGGUUGGGAUGAAGGAUGCUGAGUGGGAAGGGGUGCGCUGCCCCACUGCUCUUCACCCUCAGGGCAGACUCUGAGAGCAGACUGGGCUCAGGACUGCAUGUGGCCUCGUGUCCCUCAAGGAGGUCUGCAGAAGCUGUAUGCACGCAGGAUGGUGGGCAUUCCUCCAUGGGGCUGAGCUGGGCUGCACAGAGGCAGCACUCCGGGAGCAGACGAUGGGCGAUGCCCGGCGCUGCUCAGCUCCCGGCCGCACGCUGCCCCAGCCUGCAACCCCACGUCUGCUUCUCCUGUGUUUGUGCUUAUGAGCUCUCCUUCCACCUACGCAAGGAGCUAUUUUUAGAGGCACUAAUCAAGCACCGGCGCUGGCUGGGAGCGUGGCUUUCAAGCCGAGGGCUUCGUGCUUUCACCGCGCGCUUGCAGGAGCUCGGGUGGGUGCUUUCUUUAAAAUGCAGGGAGGGUUUACACAACGUGCUGCAGAGCGAUGGCAGUUAUUUCAGGCUCCUCAGGGCCGAGCCCACACCGAGCUGUCACCAGGAGGCUGUUUUGGCAGCGGCCGAGCACAACAUCCCCUCUUCCUCUCCCAUGCAGGGCUGCCCAGUGCAGGGUGGGCUCCUCUCGGCCCGCUGACUGCCAGCACAAGGAUGUGGCAUUGGUACUUUGCAUUGUGCAGGAAGGGAAAACGCUCUGGGUUCAGCACAGCCUCCUCUGACUGCCUUCUCCCUCCCUCUGAGGUUUCUCUGGCCGCUGGCAGCUUCCUGCAGGCCGUUACGGACCUGCACCUCCAUCAGCUCUGACGCAGCAAGAGCAGGCUGUGCUGAGUGAGAUCUGCUUUGGGCUGGCUGCACAACUGGAAGAAGGGUCGGUGCUUUUUGAGCUCGAGUGCGGCAGGAUCCAAGGUACUCACCAAUGCCGGGGAUGAUCCGGAAGAGGUCGUUCACCUUCUUGUCCACAGCUGUG